rnacentral:rRNA from 1 species
UUUAUCGGAGAGUUUGAUCCUGGCUCAGGACGAACGCUGGCGGCGUGCCUAAUACAUGCAAGUCGAGCGGACAGAUGGGAGCUUGCUCCCUGAUGUUAGCGGCGGACGGGUGAGUAACACGUGGGUAACCUGCCUGUAAGACUGGGAUAACUCCGGGAAACCGGGGCUAAUACCGGAUGGUUGUCUGAACCGCAUGGUUCAGACAUAAAAGGUGGCUUCGGCUACCACUUACAGAUGGACCCGCGGCGCAUUAGCUAGUUGGUGAGGUAACGGCUCACCAAGGCAACGAUGCGUAGCCGACCUGAGAGGGUGAUCGGCCACACUGGGACUGAGACACGGCCCAGACUCCUACGGGAGGCAGCAGUAGGGAAUCUUCCGCAAUGGACGAAAGUCUGACGGAGCAACGCCGCGUGAGUGAUGAAGGUUUUCGGAUCGUAAAGCUCUGUUGUUAGGGAAGAACAAGUGCCGUUCAAAUAGGGCGGCACCUUGACGGUACCUAACCAGAAAGCCACGGCUAACUACGUGCCAGCAGCCGCGGUAAUACGUAGGUGGCAAGCGUUGUCCGGAAUUAUUGGGCGUAAAG